rnacentral:tRNA from 1 species
GGUAAGAUGGCCGAGGUUUAAGCGGUGGAUUGUAGCCCCACAUACAGAGGUUAAAGUCCUCUUCUUAUCA